rnacentral:antisense_RNA from 1 species
UUUUAUAGUUGUUUGUAGUAAGAGAACUCCCAUUUUCAUCAGUGGAACUGGACAACUACACUGGUCCAAUUCAGGCAAAUGGAUAGAGUUCACAGCACCAAACCAGCAGCCACAGGAAAUUAAUAUAACUGUGAAGGAAAAGAUUUCCCCUGCCCGAGUCUCCCUGCACUCCUACCCAUCUGAGAGAAACAGAACUGUUGAGUAGCUGAUGCAAUUUCAUCCAUAAUAUUGUGGAUUCACCAUUGAUUCAGCAUCUGAUCCUCAGCACUGUAUAUCUAAGAACUCAUUCUCCUUGGUUCAUCAGGCAUGAUCAGAUUAAGGAUUCAUACACACUGACCUAACUCACAAGAGAGAGUUAUAAAUCAGAACACCAAUUUAUUGCCUUGUUCAUGGAAAUAGAAACACUACAUGUGUCAGCUUACUCAGAUCAGCAGCUAAACACUGUUCGGUGUUGAUUGGGAAAUAUAAAGCCAGAAUGAAGGCAGCUGGUUCAUCUUGAUAGCAAAUGUUACCAAAUCUCAUAGUCUGGUGCCCUAAUCUCCAUGGGAUUAGAACAUGUACAUCGACCAGAGAGGUUCUCUUUCUCCUGACUAUGCUGGGACAUUCUGGCAAAUUCUGACUCAUCACUCCCUUUCUAGAAUCCUUAAAGACCAUCAUCACGCU